rnacentral:rRNA from 1 species
UACGGAGGGAGCGAACGUUGUUCGGAAUCACUGGGCGUAAAGGGCGUGUAGGCGGUCUAGCAAGUCAGGGGUGAAAUACCACGGCUCAACCGUGGACGUGCCUUUGAAACUGCUGGACUUGAGGCCGUGAGAGGAGACUGGAAUUCCCGGUGUAGCGGUGAAAUGCAUAGAUAUCGGGAAGAACACCAGUGGCGAAGGCGAGUCUCUGGCACGGUUCUGACGCUAAUGCGCGAAAGCUAGGGGAGCGAACGGGAUUAGAUACCCGCGUA